rnacentral:misc_RNA from 1 species
UUUAGUCGUUGCGCAGAAACUUAAUAUGUCUACCUGAAUUAAGGAUAGCUUUUCAGGUUUUAACGAUUCAUCGAAACUCGAUUUUGCUUUAUUGGAAAUCAACUAAAUUAUCAAACCUCUUCACUCCAACGAUCCCAAGAAGCUUGAUAGAUUUAAGGAUGAUUUUUAGUUAUCAACAACAUGGCGGAAACAAAAAAGCUAUGGUUAAGGCUUGUAAAGGCUUCUACUCGGCGGAGAAAUUACAAAAAGACCUGAAAAGCUUGCCGUACUGACGUGCAAACGCAAGUUGUCAAAGAUUGGCAGGUUCAGGCUCUUCUCCAUUUUGGUCUCUUUUUUGAUGAACAGAGAAAGGUACUGGAUACAAGCCUUAAGCCCUUGUGAUUAUGGACGGAUGUGACGGAAUACGAGGCGUUAAUUUGAAUCAUUUUAGCAUCUCAG